GCUCUUAAUAGAUGUUUAUUGAUUCUUGGAUUAUUUGUACAUAGUUGUUUGCAUGUUGUCUUCCCCAUUAGAUCAUGAUUCGAGGGAAAGAAGUGCUUUAAUUUUGCCUUUUUUUGUAGCUCCAGAACGCAGUGCCUGACACAUGGUAGGCACUUACUAAACACUUACUGAUUUAAUCUAAGAAGAAAGACACUAGUAUUAAGGAGGGGCUUAGGAAGGUUUCUGGACUGGAUGACUUUUUUAUUUUUAAUUGGACGAUUUUCACUAACAACAACAUCAAAAAACAGUAAUAACAACCAGCAUUUACUUAGGGCAAAGCACUUUACACGCGCUAACUCAUUUGGUCCUCACAACAACCCUAGAAGUAGGGGCUACAAUUACUCUCAUUUUACAGAUAAGGAAACUGAGGCUGAGAAGGCCAAAGUGAUUUGUCCACGGUCACGCGGAUGGAGUCUGAAGCAGGAUUUGAACUCAGCUUUUUGACCCCAAGUCCACAGCGUCACCAGGACGCCUUUACAAUUUCCUUCCACCACCAAACGGAGAUGCCUCUGGGUCAGGGAAGGUGCACGCAGGAAUCCAGCUUUGCCUAGUCGCCUUUAGUGGCGCGCCUGCGCGCAGCGCUCCUUCUGCCCAAUCAAGGGUGAGGCGCGCGUGCGCGUGCGCGGGUGCGUGGUGCGGGAGGGGAGUGGGGGAGGAGGAGUUCUUCCCUGCGCCUGCGCGUACUCCGGCUCUGGCUGGCCUCGCGCUCGCGCUCCCGUUCGGCUCGGCUCGGCUCGGCUCGGCUCGGCUCGGCUCGGCUCGGCUCGGCUCGGCUCGGCUCGGCUCGGCUCGGCUCGGCUCGGCUCGGCUCGGCUGGGGCUCGGCUCGGCUCGGCUCGGCUCGGCACACGCAGCUGCACGCCGCCGGUCCCGGCCUUACCCUGCUCUGCUUAGUGUCAGGCUGAGCGGCGGCCGCUGCGGCACCAGGACGAUGAGGUUCUUGCUGCUCCUGCUCAUGGCGGCGGCGGCGCUGCGGGUCGAGGCCUCGGCCAACACGGGCGGCGUGCCGGGCAAGCGGCUCAAGAUGCAGUACGCCACGGGGCCGCUGCUCAAGUUCCAGAUCUGGAGCCCUCUUCAUUAUAUCCAGUUCUCUCAUAUUUGA
rnacentral:lncRNA from 1 species